rnacentral:lncRNA from 1 species
ACACAGAGUAGGGUACUUGCGAUGGAGACCAAAUGGCCCCCCGCCUGAAAUACUGGCUGCCCGGCCCUUUGCAGAAGUCGAUUGCUGACUCCCGUGUCAAACUUAUGGCAGAACUGGAAUGACUUCAACCCUGUAAAGAUGCCACAUAUAAGUGACAUCGUAUGAUGUCUAACUUUGAGAAAGAGACUCAAAAUUUUCAGCCAGAAGAAAUAGGGAGAACACACGGAGCCCCACGGAGAUGGGGUCAGAUCCUCCCCUUCUUUCAUCGAAGGCUCUGGAGCCGCUGAACCCGCCCCUGCCUCUCACCUUGAUCACACAGUGCGCAGGCGCCCUCCAACCCGCCACUCCGGUCCAUCCGCCACAACUGUGUGGCGCGAAGAGGUGGCCACACUGCCCUCUUGCUGGAAGCCCUCCUGGGGUUCCCAACAGUCCAUGAUCUGUUAAAUCCUUAUGGAAGAAAAAAGGUUGCAGCAAUAUGCCAGGCUCGGACAUUAUGAGAAAAUUCACAGUCACAUUAAAGCUCACGUGAUAACAACGGCAAAACUCCACGGCACAUUCUCUUUACCUACUAGGAGAAAAUCGUCUGUUACUGAUGUGUUAACAAUCAUGUCUUUGAUUACUAUUAAGAUUGCAUUUUUAUUUCACUUUUUUCUUUAUAUGCAAAUCUCUUAUAAGCUGCCUUUUGGACAUGCUUUUUUGGGGGGAUGGUGUUUAUUUUUCCUUAUAGACCUAAAGUCUUUAAAAGAUAAAGAUAUAAAACAUUGCUGUGUUUGCUAUGUAUUUUUUUUUUUUUUUUUGGUUCUUGGUGUUUUUUUUUUUUUUCACACUGGUGGCAUAUGGAAAUUCCUGGGCCAGAGGCUGAAUCUAAGCCGCAGCUGCCCCUAUGCUGCAGCUGCAGCGACUCCAGAGCCUUAACUCACUGCACCACAGUGGAAACUCCAUCCAUAUUUUAUUUUUAUUGCUAAAGGUGUUUUGUUUAUAAUAGCUAAGGAAAUCUAUUUUUAGGACAGAAGUCAAGCUCCCUGAAGCCAUGGAAAUAUUUCACUUCCCACCAGAAAUACAUUCUUUUGGUAUUAGCACAGAGCUUUUAAAACAAUAAACAUGGGAUUCACAUCAGAAUUGUCCCUCUCAAUUUUUUUCAACGAAGCUCAAUUCUCAGCCCAUAAAAACAGCAAAACCUAAACUUUCCCUUAUUUUAAUUCUACAGUUAUUUUUUUUAAACAAGGAGAAGUAUCCAAAGGAGGAUGCAAAAAAUCACUUGAAAAAUGGUUUUUUCCAGUCCUCCCCUCUCUAGUAGGCACGGUGAAUUCAGAACAUUUCUUUCGUGAGGAACUAUCACUAUCCCAAAAGAGUCUAACAGGAUGUAAAUGCAGGAAUGGAUUCUUUCCCAAAAUCGGCAGAAAUGAAGGAUGAAAGCCUUUGGCUGCGUGUCGUGGAGCAAAUGCAUUUAGAACUGGGAUCUCAGAACCUCAUUCUUUAGCAUCACUGCUUUCUUUAUCAGCCUCAUCUCCUUCUAAGCCUUUAGGAACCUAAGGCUAUCUAAAGACUUGCCCCGCUUGUUGGUAUCCUGAAUAACCAAUACGUCUUCCUCUCCUUCUGCAGCCCAUCAAGCCUGCUUCUGUGCCCUUCAGCUUGGGCUUCCUUAAGCAUAUGCCUUCAUGGUCUUCACUGUUCAUGAUUUUAAACUUGAGCUACAGCCUGACAGACUCCUGUGCACAACACACCUUCUGUGGCUGAUCCUGUGUCUCUUCUUCCUGUAAAAGAGAAAAUAAAAGUCACACCCAACAUCCCACCGAGAUAAAACCUACCGCUAAGAUUCUGGCACUUCCCCCUCCAACAUUUUGUCUAUGCUUAGGUAUAAAUACUAUAUACCCUACUGCUUCUCACUUUUAAAAUUUAAAAUUAUGUUGUCAUCAUUUCCCCAAACUAUAAUUCUUAGUAGUGUAUGGUAAUCAAUCCAAGGACUCUUCAGUAGAAAGAAACUUAAGCUGCUGUUUAGUUUUUCCUGCUUUUGGUAAUGUUGGUUAAAUAAUGGGGCUUUGCUUGCAUUCCAGUUACUUCCAUAGGGCAAAUUCCUAGGAGGGAAAUUAUG